GUUAUAGGCUCUAAACAGUGUGGCUUUCAAUAGGUGGCAGCAUUAACCUUUUUCUACCCAGUUGGAUUGGAUUGUGUUCACAGUAAGUUGUAUAGUAAGUUGUAUAACAUAAAAAGAGACGGAAAACAGAUCUGGGUGCAAUCAAUAUUUAGGUGAGGGAAACAUAGGAAAUGAUUAAACUUGCUCACCUGAUUAAGAGCCUAUUAUAAAAUGGGCUCAAAACUUUGAACUUUGUGUCAUAUUUGACAUAAAAAUUCCAAAAGUACCGAUAUUUUACCAUCUUCUUUGGUAAAAAUCAACUCAACCCACCAGGGAGGCCGAUAGUCUCUGGGAUAAACUCUAUAUCCAGCCGACUAUAUUGACAGAAUCUUACAACCCAUAGUACAAAUCACCAAUAGAUAUUUAAAAGAUACUUUAAACAUUCUACAAGUUUUGGAAACAGUAAAAUGGGAAUCUGAUUACAUUUUGUUAACUGUCGAUAUAAAGCUCGCUGUAUACCAACAUGAAAAAGAAUGCGAGGCAACACAAUUUUUUCUAUCCGAGCCAAAAAGACAUCCUACAUCGCAGAUUGAUUUUAUCAUGGAGGGGAUUAAUCUCAUUUUAAAGAAUAAUUAUUUUUGGUUUCAGGACGAUUAUUUUCUUCAAAUCUGUGGUACAACAAUGGGGACUUGGUUUGCACCCAGCUAUGCCAAUUUAUUCAUGGCAUAUUGGGAAAAUUUUUUGUCUAUCACAACAAUAGCUGGAGUACAAACCUAGUCUCCUACCACAGGUAUACAGAUGAAAUUUUUUUUCAUUUGGAAGGGAAGCAACAAAGAUUUAACAUCCUUUUUAGCCUUUUUAAAUUCUAACAAUUGGGGUAUUAUCUUAACAAUCAAUUUUAGUGCUUGUUCAGUCAAUUUUUUAGAUAUUUAUAUUGACCAUAACCAAAUUAAAACUCAAACAUAUUUAAAAUCCGUGGAUGUGAACAAUUAUAUCUAUAUCAACAGCUGUCAUUUCUCCCCUUGGCUGAGGAACGUGCCGAGAUCCCAGUUUCUCCGGAUGAGGAGAAACUGUUCAGACCUCAACACUUUCCACACCCAAGCAAAUAAAAUCAAAAACCAGUUUGUAGAAAAGGGCUACAACAUAGCCACUUUAGAAGAUAAUAUAGAAGAAAUCAGUGUCAUAGAUCGUACAUCCCUUCUUCA